CUGUUUAUAAGCACACACAGGUUAGGUAUUUUAAUUUAAACCUUAAGUCCUAAAUGAAAAGGAUAUUUGUCGUUUGUUGUUUUAAUAUCUGUUUUGAUUUUUUUUUUUACAAAAAGCCCUUUGCUUGCUAACGCAGAUCAACAACCGCAACAACCGCUAACAAGCUGACAAUGUUAGGGCUUGGACACUGACGACAUCUGGCGGCCAGAUUUGUUUUCAAUUCUGGAGCAUAGGCUAGCCCUUUAGCCCCUACCUUCUUCUUCGUCUGCGUGCGCUUCACACCCUUUUCCUAUCAAUGGAAAGUCCUGAAAUCCCCCACCAGGUGCCACUGCAGUUUAAUAACAACAAUGACUGCCAUGGUUAGUGCACGGUUAGUUGCUGUUUUUCACGUUUCGAUGCAGUAUAAAGGGAACUAUUAAACAUUUCAAAAAGUUUGUUAAGUAGCAUAAUGUGGUAAAGCAGAUUAACAUUAUAGUGAGAUCCUUGUGAAUGGAAAAUAGCAUGAUCAAGGCUGUUCUUCAAUUGCAAAGAAAGAGAAUUAUGAUUGAAACAAAUGCAAAAUAUCCAAUUGGAAUUCUCUUCGUAUUUGUGGUAAUUUUGGAAAAUUGUCUUUCCAGAGAAUAACACCUUAAAAGAAAGAACUGUGGUUGUGAUAAUGUAGCAGUAUUGUGUGAAUCUGUCGCCGCCAUUCCAUAGACUGACCCAUUGGGAUGGUGAAACUGAGGAGAAAACGCUGAAAUUCAAGAUAAUGAUGUAGAUAAAUUAAAAGUGCAUAUCUGGGCUCCCUUCUUUUCUGUGGCCCCGUUUCCCUAACUAACCACUAACCAACGCCCGCCGGUGGUCAC